rnacentral:rRNA from 1 species
GUCGAGAAUCUUUCGCAAUGGGGGCAACCCUGACGAAGCGACGCCGCGUGGAGGAUGAAGGUCUUCGGAUUGUAAACUCCUUUCGUGCGGGAGCAUGGGGACGGGCGUGAACAGCGCCCGGCCAGGGAUAGUACCGCAGGAAGAAGCCACGGCUAACUCUGUGCCAGCAGCCGCGGUAAUACAGAGGUGGCAAGCGUUGUUCGGAUUUACUGGGCGUAAAGGGUGCGUAGGCGGCUCCGCGUGUCGGACGUGAAAUCCCACGGAUCAUCUGUGGAACGGCGUUCGAAACUGCGGGGCUCGAGUGCAGGAGAGGAAAGCGGAAUUCUCGGUGUAGCGGUGAAAUGCGUUGAUAUCGAGAGGAACGCCGGUGGCGAAGGCGGCUUUCUGGAAUGCAACUGACGCUGAGGCACGAAAGCCGGGGGAGCAAACAGGAUUAGAAACCCGGGUAGUCC